GCGGUCGUGGUGGAACGGCAGACACGCUAUCUUGAGGGGGUAGUGCCCAACGGGUGUGGGGGUUCAAAUCCCCCCGACCGCACCA
rnacentral:tRNA from 1 species